rnacentral:lncRNA from 1 species
CCUGGAUGAGCCUCUGACGUCUCAAGCAGCAUUGUUUUAAUGCUUUGAUGAAGCUCAGCACGCUGCCGAAAUCUCGGCAGUAUUUUUUCUUUUCUUUUUGCAUGUGAGAGAAAGGACAACAAAUUGCAGUUUUAUCCAUUUGUAUUAUUUCUUUAGAAAACUCAACACUCUUUUUGUUGGAGGUGGGGAAAUGAGAAGGUGAUGUUUUGUUUUGCUUUUUUUCCUAUUUUUUUUUUUUAAAGGAGGAGAAGAUGACAGUGUUCUCCCUAAGGAUGAAGUUUGACUUUUGAAACAUAUCACAUGCUUAAAGCACAUUUGAGCUCCUGCAUGAACAGUAAGCUAGCAGAUGGUAGAAAUAUUCUUUAUUAAUUCAAAAAAUAUUUACUGCGGACCUACAAUGUGCCAAGCAUGUCUCCUGACACUGGGGAUAAGCAGUGAACAACAACAAAAAGACAAACUUCUUCCACCCUGAGGCGUAUGUUCUCGGUGAGAAAUGGGCAAUAAACAUAAUACCUAAGAAAAUUAUACGGGAUGUUAGUGACAAAUGCAGUGGAGGAAAAGGGAGGCCAGGGGCAUCAAGUGUGGAGAUCAGAAGUGGUAGAGUUACAAUUUUAAAUAAGAGGGACAGAUAGACAUGAUUAAGGAGGUGAAGUUUGAGCAGACAGUUGAGGGAGACCAGGAAGCUAGUUUUGUGUGUGCCCAAGUAAGAGUAUUCUAGGCAGAGACAGCAGCUGUUAAAAGGCUUUAAAUGGAGAAUGUGCCUGGCAUGUUCAAUUACAGCAGACGUGUGUGGGUCUGGCACAGAAAGAACAAGGGGAAAAGAAGAAAGAAGUAUUAAUAGACAAAGUAUUUAGUUAAGGAGAGCAGGGCAAAUUCUGUAAGGCAUUCAGAGCCAUUUCACUCCGGAAAAAAAAUGUGUAAUAUUGAAUAUACGUGUUAAAUGUUGA